rnacentral:rRNA from 1 species
UACGUAGGUGGCAAGCGUUGUCCGGAUUUAUUGGGUUUAAAGGGUGCGUAGGCGGCUUAAUAAGUCAGUGGUGAAAGCCGAUCGCUUAACGAUCGAACUGCCAUUGAUACUGCUAGGCUUGAGUAUAGUUGAGGUAGGCGGAAUUGACAGUGUAGCGGUGAAAUGCAUAGAUAUUGUCAAGAACACCAAUUGCGAAGGCAGCUUACUAAAGUAUAACUGACGCUGAGGCACGAAAGCGUGGGUAUCAAACAGG